UACGGGGGGAGCAAGCGUUGUUCGGAUUUACUGGGCGUAAAGGGCGCGUAGGCGGCCACGACAAGUCACUUGUGAAAUCUCCGGGCUUAACUCGGAAAGGUCAAGUGAUACUGUCGGGCUAGAGUGCAGAAGGGGCAACUGGAAUUCUCGGUGCAGCGGUGAAAUGCGUAGAUAUCGAGAGGAACACCUGCGGCGAAGGCGGGUUGCUGGGCUGACACUGACGCUGAGGCGCGAAAGCCAGGGGAGCGAACGGG
rnacentral:rRNA from 1 species